AGGGUCCUACGGGGGGCAGCAGUGAGGAAUAUUGGUCAAUGGCCGAGAGGCUGAACCAGCCACGUCGCGUGAGGGAUGACGGCCCUACGGGUUGUAAACCUCUUUUGCCGGGGAGCAAGGAGCGGGACGCGUCCCGCCUCGAGAGUACCCGGAGAAAAAGCAUCGGCUAACUCCGUGCCAGCAGCCGCGGUAAUACGGAGGAUGCGAGCGUUAUCCGGAUUUAUUGGGUUUAAAGGGUGCGCAGGCGGAAGCGCAAGUCAGCGGUAAAAUUGAGAGGCUCAACCUCUUCCCGCCGUUGAAACUGG
rnacentral:rRNA from 1 species